rnacentral:piRNA from 1 species
UUCCCCCAUUGAUGCAGAAGACAACUACGC